rnacentral:rRNA from 1 species
CACGUAGGCGGCUUGUUAAGUCAGGGGUGAAAUCCUGGAGCUCAACUCCAGAACUGCCUUUGAUACUGGCGAGCUUGAGUCCGGGAGAGGUGAGUGGAACUGCGAGUGUAGAGGUGAAAUUCGUAGAUAUUCGCAAGAACACCAGUGGCGAAGGCGGCUCACUGGCCCGGUACUGACGCUGAGGUCGAAGCGUGGGAGGCAAACCAA